GCCGCUUUAGCUCAGUCGGUAGAGCACAUCAUUCGUAAUGAUGGGGUCACGUGUUCGAAGUCACGUAAGCGGCACCA
rnacentral:tRNA from 1 species